AACCAGCGCAGAUUGGCAUGCCCCUUGCAUCUCUGGGCGAGUAUUUCUUUGAGUGCCUCACUCUAAAGCACUCUGC
rnacentral:pre_miRNA from 1 species